rnacentral:rRNA from 1 species
AACGAACGCUGGCGGCAGGCUUAACACAUGCAAGUCGAGCGCCCCGCAAGGGGAGCGGCAGACGGGUGAGUAACGCGUGGGAAUCUACCUAUCUCUACGGAACAACUCCGGGAAACUGGAGCUAAUACCGUAUACGUCCUUCGGGAGAAAGAUUUAUCGGAGAUGGAUGAGCCCGCGUUGGAUUAGCUAGUUGGUGGGGUAAUGGCCUACCAAGGCGACGAUCCAUAGCUGGUCUGAGAGGAUGAUCAGCCACACUGGGACUGAGACACGGCCCAGACUACUACGGGAGGCAGCAGUGGGGAAUAUUGGACAAUGGGCGAAAGCCUGAUCCAGCCAUGCCGCGUGAGUGAUGAAGGCCCUAGGGUUGUAAAGCUCUUUCGCAGGUGAAGAUAAUGACGGUAACCUGAGAAGAAGCCCCGGCUAACUUCGUGCCAGCCGCCGCCGUAA